UUAAUAUAUUAGGUUAUAGUUUAAUAUAUUAGGUUAUAGUUUAAUAUAUUAGGUUAUAGUUUAAUAAAUAAAGUUAUAGUUUAAUAUAUUAGGUUAUAGUUUAAUAAAUAAAGUUAUAGUUUAAUAUAUUAGGUUAUAGUUUAAUAUAUUAGGUUAUAGUUUAAUAUAUAAAGUUAUAGUUUAAUAUAUAAAGUUAUAGUUUAAUAUAUUAGGUUAUAGUUUAAUAUAUUAGGUUAUAGUUUAAUAUAUAAAGUUAUAGUUUAAUAUAUUAGGUUAUAGUUUAAUAUAUUAGGUUAUAGUUUAAUAUAUUAGGUUAUAGUUUAAUAUAUUAGGUUAUAGUUUAAUAAAUAAAGUUAUAUAUAAA